ensembl:lncRNA
UGUCAAAAUUGUGAUUUAGCAACAAACUGUUUUUCUAAUGUGGCAGAAAUGUAAAUAGAGAACAUGGAGAACCAUAACUUUACAAUGUUAUCACAACUUCUGGUCUGAUGAAGUCUCUUUUUUAAGUGCUAACAAGGUCUCUGGAAUAAGACUCAAGAAUCUAGGCAAUCAAAAUCAAAACUUUUAUAAUCAUACUUUUGUGAACUGGGCUAAAUAAAUAUGUUAACAGAACUGAAAUUGCCACAGUAUAAUCAAAUGAACACUAAAACAAAAAAUUAAAAGAAGUCUUCAGUAAUCUAUAAUCUAUUUAAUCUAUCUACGGACCACUUUUUUAUUUUAUUUUAUUUUAUUUUAUUUUAUUUUAUUUUAUUUUAUUUUAUUUAAAUUGAGAAAAACGUGAACCUGUAGGACUCGCAGUGAGUGUGUUUGUCCAGGCGGUGGCGCGCGUGACCUUAGUAUGCAGCAACCGGAAGCUGCGUGGAUCGGCUUCAGAUCAGGCAGGAGGCGCGAGGUUUGCUCAAAGUUAUGGUUGUUUUGUUUCACAUCGCUGUAUAGACUUUCAGCUAUUUUUGAUCUUUACAGCAUUUACACAAGAAAUACGUUUAACCCAGAGAUCACGUUCAGAGAGAAAACAACAUUGUCCUGUCUUUCUGAAUAUCCUGCACAUGUUUCCUACUGGGAUAAUGUGUUAAUACCCGCCGAGACACUACUCGUAAGAUCUUAGUUCAGUACAUUAUUAAAGUUCAUGUGAAAGUGGAGUAUUAUUACUUUACUGUCACUUAACGUUUGUGGGGGUGUGCUUAAAACCAUUAAAUUUGUCUACAAACGAACCUAAUUUCAAAGUUUUGAUAAGACUUUUGAUUGAAAGAUCUUAAAGAUUAUGAGAAAAAAAUGUAGACAAGCAUGUUGACUGGUAUUGCACUUUAUACUAAUUCUCUCGCUCUCUCUCUAUGCAUACAUGCAUACAGUGCAUACAUAUAUAUCCAGUGUAACUUACUGGUUAUUUAAUAUAUACCAAUCCUGACAGCCAUUGUAGCAAAGUCAAAAUGUUUAAAAAAUGGUUUAAUGCAAAAGGUAUAAUACCAUUAAAAAUCAAGACAUUUUAUACAAACUGUUCACAGGGAAG